rnacentral:tRNA from 1 species
GCGGCCAUGGCGGAACCGGCAGACGCGUACGUUUGAGGGGCGUAUGGAUAACACCGUGCGGGUUCAAAUCCCGCUGGCCGCACCA